CCUUCGAUAGCUCAGUUGGUAGAGCGGUGGACUGUAGUUGGUUGAUUUCUGGAGACAUCCAUAGGUCGCUGGUUCGAAUCCGGCUCGAAGGA
rnacentral:tRNA from 1 species